CGAAAGCCUGAUCCAGCAAUGCCGCGUGUGUGAAGAAGGCCUUCGGGUUGUAAAGCACUUUUGUCCGGAAAGAAAUCCUUGGCUCUAAUACAGUCGGGGGAUGACGGUACCGGAAGAAUAAGCACCGGCUAACUACGUGCCAGCAGCCGCGGUAAUACGUAGGGUGCGAGCGUUAAUCGGAAUUACUGGGCGUAAAGCGUGCGCAGGCGGUUUGCUAAGACCGAUGUGAAAUCCCCGGGCUCAACCUGGGAACUGCAUUGGUGACUGGCAGGCUAGAGUAUGGCAGAGGGGGGUAGAAUUCCACGUGUAGCAGUGAAAUGCGUAGAGAUGUGGAGGAAUACCGAUGGCGAAGGCAGCCCCCUGGGCCAAUACUGACGCUCAUGCACGAAAGCGUGGGGAGCAAACAGGAUUAGAUACCCUGGUAGUCCACGCCCUAAACGAUGUCAACUAGUUGUUGGGGAUUCAUUUCCUUAGUAACGUAGCUAACGCGUGAAGUUGACCGCCUGGGGAGUACGGUCGCAAGAUUAAAACUCAAAGGAAUUGACGGGGACCCGCACAAGCGGUGGAUGAUGUGGAUUAAUUCGAUGCAACGCGAAAAACCUUACCUACCCUUGACAUGGUCGGAAUCCCGCUGAGAGGUGGGAGUGCUCGAAAGAGAACCGGCGCACAGGUGCUGCAUGGCUGUCGUCAGCUCGUGUCGUGAGAUGUUGGGUUAAGUCCCGCAACGAGCGCAACCCUUGUCCUUAGUUGCUACGCAAGAGCACUCUAAGGAGACUGCCGGUGACAAACCGGAGGAAGGUGG
rnacentral:rRNA from 1 species